AAUUGGUUUCAUUGAUUAAUUUUGCAGAAGAAAUCUCAGGGUCUACGCUGUGAGCGUUGCAGUGUCCUGGAAUGUCAAUACCUGAAGAAACCACAAAGGCUGUGAUAGCAUAUGUCUGCCCUUAAGUUUCUUGUUGAAGGUAGAGCACUGAUGAGACCUGCCAAAGACCAAGGAGGGGAAGUUUAAAAAACCAAAGAGGCUUUGCCUGUGUUCACAGCUGGAGUUGGAGGUGGCAACAGGGCACACUCACCUGAAUUCUAAGGCUUUAGGAAAAGACAAACUCCAAGCAAGGUUUACCCUUCAUUUUUUUACAUUUUCAUUUAUGACAUGUACUUACUUCAGUAUCUCUCAUGAAACUCCUCAGCAGCUGAGUAAUUGCUAACUUCUUGUCAUUUAGUGCUUGGUACGAAGGGGCUGGAAAGCGAAUGUGUUUUGUUUUCAAAGUUUUAAGAAUUCACAAAUAAGAGAGUGAAACAUGAGAAAUACCUUGACAAAGGCCUCUGAAAAUUAA